rnacentral:rRNA from 1 species
UACAUGGGGUGCAAACGUUGCUCGGAAUUACUGGGCGUAAAGCGCACGUAGGCGGAUUGUUAAGUCGGGGGUGAAAUCCUGGAGCUCAACUCCAGAACUGCCUUCGAUACUGGCGAUCUCGAGUUCGGGAGAGGUGAGUGGAACUGCGAGUGUAGAGGUGAAAUUCGUAGAUAUUCGCAAGAACACCAGUGGCGAAGGCGGCUCACUGGCCCGAUACUGACGCUGAGGCACGAAAGCGUGGGGAGCAAACAGG